rnacentral:tRNA from 3 species
GCGGAAGUAGCUCAGUUGGUAGAGCACGACCUUGCCAAGGUCGGGGUCGCGAGUUCGAGCCUCGUCUUCCGCU